GGAUGCGAUCAUACCAGCACUAAAGCACCGGAUCCCAUCAGAACUCCGAAGUUAA
rnacentral:rRNA from 1 species